rnacentral:rRNA from 1 species
UUAUCCUACGGGGGGCAGCAGUGGGGAAUAUUGCACAAUGGGGGGAACCCUGAUGCAGCGACGCCGCGUGGGUGAAGAAGUCAUUCGUGACGUAAAGCCCUAUCAGCAGGGAAGAAGAUGACGGUACCUGACUAAGAAGCCCCGGCUAACUACGUGCCAGCAGCCGCGGUAAUACGUAGGGGGCAAGCGUUAUCCGGAUUUACUGGGUGUAAAGGGAGCGCAGGCGGCUUUGCAAGUCUGAUGUGAAAGGCCAGGGCUCAACCCUGGGACUGCAUUGGAAACUGUAAAGCUAGAGUGCCGGAGAG